rnacentral:rRNA from 1 species
GAUCAUGGCUCAGAGCGAACGUUUGCGGCGGGCCUAACACAUGCAAGUCGAACGCACUAGCAAUAGUGAGUGGCGCACGGGUGCGUAACACGUGGGUAAUCAACCCUUCAGCUUGGGAUAACGACUUGAAAGGGUCGCUAAUACCGGAUACGGCGAGAGAGGCUUCGGCAUUUCUCGAGAAAGCCUCGCAAGGGGCACUGAAGGACGAGCCUGCGGCCCAUCAGCUAGUUGGUGAGGUAAGAGCUCACCAAGGCGAAGACGGGUAGCUGGUCUGAGAGGAUGAUCAGCCACACUGGAACUGAGACACGGUCCAGACUCCUACGGGAGGCAGCAGUGGGGAAUAUUGCGCAAUGGGCGAAAGCCUGACGCAGCCACGCCGCGUGAGCGAUGAAGGCCUUCGGGUCGUAAAGCUCUGUGGGGAGAGACGAAGAAAGCCCGUGAAGAGCGGGCCUUGACGGUAUCUCCUUAGCAAGCACCGGCUAACUCCGUG